rnacentral:rRNA from 1 species
GACGAACGCUGGCGGCGUGCUUAACACAUGCAAGUCGAACGGUAAGGCCCUUCGGGGUACACGAGUGGCGAACGGGUGAGUAACACGUGGGUGAUCUGCCCUGCACUUCGGGAUAAGCCUGGGAAGCUGGGUCUAAUACCGGAUAGGACCACUGCCUGCAUGGGUGGUGGUGGAAAGCUUUUGCGGUGUGGGAUGGGCCCGCGGCCUAUCAGCUUGUUGGUGGGGUGAUGGUGUACCAAGGCGACGACGGUUAGCCGGCCUGAGAGGGUGACCGGCAACACUGGGAGUGAGAUACGGCCGAGACUCCUACGGGAGGCAGCAGUGGGGAUUAUUGCACAGUGGGCGCAAGCCUGAUGCAGCGACGCCGCGUGAGGGAUGACGGCCUUCGGGUUGUAAACCGCUUUCAGCACCGACGAAGCGCAAGUGACGGUAGGUGCAGAAGAAGGACCGGCCAACUACGUGCCAGCAGCCGCGGUAA